GUCGAGAAUUUUUCACAAUGGGCGAAAGCCUGAUGGAGCGACGCCGCGUGGGGGAUGAAGGGCUUCGGCCCGUAAACCCCUGUCAUUUGCGAACAAACCUUUCCGCUGAAUAUGCGGAGAGCUGAUUGUAGCGAAAGAGGAAGGGACGGCUAACUCUGUGCCAGCAGCCGCGGUAAUACAGAGGUCCCAAGCGUUGUUCGGAUUCACUGGGCGUAAAGGGUGCGUAGGUGGUCGGGUAAGUCUGGUGUGAAAUCUCCGAGCUCAACUCGGAAAUGGCAUUGGAUACUAUUCGGCUGGAGGGUUGGAGGGGGGACUGGAAUUCUUGGUGUAGCAGUGAAAUGCGUAGAUAUCAAGAGGAACACCAGUGGCGAAGGCGAGUCCCUGGACAACUCCUGACACUGAGGCACGAAAGCUAGGGGAGCAAACAGGAUUAGAUACCCGAGUAGUCC
rnacentral:rRNA from 1 species